GAUAAGGGUCAGCAAGGAAGAGCGAGUCAAAGGCUGUGAGGGAAUGCAUGAGUGAAAAUGACUGACAUGAAGUAUGCAUGCAACUCCUAUGUUAAAAUGUUCUUUUCUUAGUUAAUUGAAAUAUGUAGAUUGGGCCAAAUGUGGUGGUGCACACACCUUUAAUCCCAACACUCAGAAGAAAGAGGCAGGCUGAUCCCUGCAAAUUUGAGGUCGGUCUGGUCCACACAGUAAGUUCCAGGACAGCCAGGUCCACAGAGUGAGUUCCAGGACAGCCAAGGCUGUGUAGAAAGACUGUGUCAAAGAAAAAAUGUAGGCUGGAUAAAUAAAAGUGCAUGCCUGUUUUUUCUAACCCAGAGGCACCCAGCUGGGGACUGUGUGACAGGCAGCCUGCUCUAGAACAGGGCUUUGCCCUGUGUGCUUUGCUUCUGGAUAACAGAGUAAAAGCCCAGCUGCACCCCAGAGACCAGCGGCUGAUGACCUGGUGCUGAAGAAGUGUUCUGAACGCCCCUCGGAAGUGGGGGAGCUGUGUGAGGUGUUUCUUGACGUGAACCCAGCAUCUCUACACACAUUUGUUUCCAUAAGAAAACAUCUUUUACCUGAGAUGGAAACCCUGCCCUUUUCCCAAAUACUUUCUGAGCGUCAGGGUAAGUUCCUGGUUUAGAAAAACUUGCUUCAUCCAUGGCCCUCUCUGGGCUAUUUCUGGCCUCUCCCUGAAGAACAGAAGUAAAAUUACAUUUCAAACCAGCCCCUGGCUUAUUGACACCUGGAAGGUUAAUCAAGUGCGACUUUUCCCUUUCUUGAUCAAUACGUCUCUGGCUUGUCCUGUUCAUAGACAGUUACCCAAUUACCGGCUCUCUAAUCGGAACCACACGACCUUUCAAAGCCUGACUCGCCUCAUCGAUCUGGUAACAGCUAAAUUGGCACCCUCCUCUCUCACAGAGCAGAUUUAAUCUGCUCAGGUUUGAUUAAAAGGCUUGGCUGAAACCAACGCCAGAUGGAAUUUCCUUACUGUCUAGAAGGUCCUCAGGAGUCACAGGAGUCCCACACUGAGAGAUUCAUCAGGGAGAGAGCUCGACCGUGGGUCAGUUCAGGGGCGCACCCACCUCCAAGUGCUGGGAGGAUUCCGUGAUAAGCGUAUCCCCUAAACAUCUAAUUCUUGGUUGACAGUGGCAACUCUUUUGCCCCAUGGGUACCUAACUCUGUUCUCACUCUGUUGAGACAAAACCUUCGGAAGUGGGAUUUUGUAAAAUGAGAAUGCACGUGUCACCAAAAUACAACUAUGGAGAGAGAAACCAAUGUCCUCUUGUUGGGAUCUGGUAGAUGAGUUUCCAUAUGACACACACGACACUAAUCUUGCAGAAGGUGAACACAGUUCCUGGGGCCUCAGGCAUUUAUGUUGUUAGUAUUUGUUUAACAAAUCAUUCACACGGUGAAAAUUUUUAAUUAAAAUGGACCCGUAAACUACUAUUCACUCAUACAGUGCAAUCACUUAUCCUGUCCCCGGAGAUUAAAUAAUGAAGCCACAGUCUUUCUAAUUACCAAAGGGGAGGAGACCUGUUAUCUGGGUCAUUAGUUUCCACCUCAACCUUGCAAGAGGAGAAAAUGCAAUUUAGCUCGUUUGCAAUGACAAUUCUGAAAUUUUAAGUAGAAAUUAAAAAUAUGCCCAUCGUUUCAUGAUGUAUACAGGAAUGAGAAUGUGAGGACAGUUUGAGUGUUGCAUAGCUGCAUUAGGCUUGCAGACAGAAAUAAGAGCAUCCGAGUGCAAAUGAGAAAAAAGGCACUCACUGUAAGACGCCUCACCAGUCAUGCUGGGGGGUGACUGUCAGAAUUCCUGCCAGGACUGCAUGGAAGCCACCCAGGCAGUUGUACAAAGUGUCCAACUCCCCAAACAAUGUGUUCUCAAAAAUGUGGAGCACAAAGAACCAACCUUUGGCUUUUCUUUCUGUGGCAUUGAGAAUGUUCUGUGGCUUUAUUUAAAUUUGUACUAACACACAUGUUAGAGCUGGAUUUAGAUAAAAAUAUCUUAGCUUUCCCAUCUCAAAUUGAAAGUAAUAUAAACAUACCCUUAAGACUUAUCUAUCCAAAAAAAAAAAAAAAAA
ensembl:lncRNA